ACGGGGGCAGCAGUGGGGAAUAUUUGGCAAUGGGCGAAAGCCUGACCCAGCAACGCCGCGUGAAGGAAGAAGGUCUUCGGAUUGUAAACUUCUUUUAUCCGGGACGAAGGAAGUGACGGUACCUGAUGAAUAAGCCACGGCUAACUACGUGCCAGCAGCCGCGGUAAUACGUAGGUGGCAAGCGUUAUCCGGAUUUACUGGGUGUAAAGGGCGCGUAGGCGGGGAUGCAAGUCAGAUGUGAAAUCCAUGGGCUUAACCCAUGAACUGCAGUUGAAACUGUAUCUCUUGAGUGUAGGAGAGGUAGAUGGAAUUCCUAGUGUAGCGGUGAAAUGCGUAGAUAUUAGGAGGAACACCAGUGGCGAAGGCGAUCUACUGGACGAUAACUGACGCUGAGGCGCGAAAGCGUGGGGAGCAAACAGGAUUAGAUACCCUGGUA
rnacentral:rRNA from 1 species